ACAUGAAGAUGACAGAGUCCCUGGGAACUGAGUUUUGAAAGUGUGACCCCGUGCCUGCCUGGGUCCGUUCCUGCAUCCGCCCAUGAGGGACGCUGACCAAGCCUGACUGAGAGGAACUCAUCCCAACCACAGGCCCCUGCCUGGCUCAGCUCUGUGCCCCACGAGGACUUUCUGAAGCGUCCCUCCUCCCCCUCUGCUCUCCUCCACUUAUCUGUCAUUAAGUGUCUGGGGGCCCCAGGCCAGUAGGAACCAGGGGCUCCUGAGGGGAAGCGGGGGCAAACAAGGCCUGGGAGAAGACAGCCCAUUCAGGCCUGAGCUCUGAAGAGGGAGAUGUCUCAGUGGGGAGUACAGACGGGGACACACCGCCCAGAGCGGGACCUCGCAUCAGGCAACACCCCUAACAGCUACUGCUCUGAGUGCUGGCCUGCAGGAACUGGUCCAAUCUGCCCAACAGUCCUCUGGGUAGGCACUGCUAUGCCCCUUUUUCACAGGAGGAGAAGAAGGUGCUCACUCGGGGUGGACAGAGAGCGUCCAGAGAACCAGGCUACUGUAAGGCGGAAGAAGAGAACAGACCUCCCUCAGAGAGCACUGCCUGGCCCCUGGGGUCUUCUGUUUGUAACCCAG